rnacentral:rRNA from 1 species
GAUGAACGCUGGCGGCGUGCCUAAUACAUGCAAGUCGAGCGAACAGACGAGGAGCUUGCGCCUCUGACGUUAGCGGCGGACGGGUGAGUAACACGUGGAUAACCUACCUAUAAUACUGGGAGAACUUCGGGAAACCGGAGCUAAUACCGCAUAAUAUAUUGAACCGCAUGGUUCAAUAGUGAAAGACGGUUUUGCUGUCACUUAUAGAUGGAUCCGCGCCGCAUUAGCUAGUUGGUAAGGGAACGGCUCACCAAGGCGACGAUGCGUAGCCGACCUGAGAGGAAGGUGAGCCACAAUGGAACUGAGACACGGACCAGACUCCUACGGGAGGCAGCAGUGGGGAAUAUUGGACAAUGGGCGCAAGCCGGAUCCAGCCAUACCGCGUGGGUGAAGAAGGCCUUCGGGUUGUAAAGCCCUUUUGUUGGGAAAGAAAAGCAGCAGGUUAAUACCCCGCUGUUCUGACGGUACCCAAAGAAUAAGCACCGGCUAACUUCGUG